UAUAAAACAUGCUGAGGCUCUUGAAUCUUAGAAGACAAAGACUUUGUGAUUAUUAGGUUCUAAAUAUACUUCUAUUAUAAAAUAAGAUGAGGGGUCUGAGGAGAGGAUAGGACCUUUACUAGGUAUUGCACAAGAUUCUAGCCGCACGGUCCCUAUUGUAGCUGAAAAAACUCAUUUUUUGACACACUAUCUUCUUUGGGAAUUAUGCUUCCUAUUUUGUAAUUGUGUUUCUUCUUUAGAUAAUAUUGAGCAGUGUGCUUAGCUUCUCCACAAUAUAAACACAAUCCCUCUUAGCGAUGUCGAGUCUUUUUCUACUUC
rnacentral:lncRNA from 1 species